rnacentral:rRNA from 1 species
AGAGAGUGCGAGCGUUAAUCGGAAUUACUGGGCGUAAAGCGCGUGUAGGUGGAUGCUUAAGUCGACUGUGAAAGCCCCGGGCUUAACCUGGGAAUUGCAAUCGAGACUGGGCAACUAGAGUAUGGUAGAGGGAAGUGGAAUUUCCGGUGUAGCGGUGAAAUGCGUAGAUAUCGGAAGGAACACCAGUGGCGAAGGCGGCUUCCUGGACCAAUACUGACACUGAGACGCGAAAGCGUGGGGAGCAAACAGGGAUUAGAGACCCUGGUAGUCCACGCCGUCAACGAUGAGAACUAGAUGUUGGGAGGGUUACCUCUUAGUAUCGAAGCUAACGCGUUAAGUUCUCCGCCUGGGGAGUACGGCCGCAAGGUUA